rnacentral:sRNA from 1 species
UCCAAAGAGUUAGUAUGUUGUUUGAGC